rnacentral:ncRNA from 1 species
GGACGCUUGACGGGGUGCCGGUGAUUCCGGCUGAGAUGGCGCAGGGAGCCCAAGGGUGACCUCAGCGCCGAUCCCGUGGAACCUGAUCCGGGUGAGCAGGGCCGCUGGCCCCGCAUGAACCGGCGUAGGGAAUCAGGCGAAGGGGUUUG